AGGCGCAGGGCGGCCUGGCCGCGCAGGCGGCCUGUCACGCCGCGGAGGGCGGCCUGUCCUACGGCCCGAUCAUCGACUGGCUGCGCAGCC
rnacentral:tRNA from 1 species